rnacentral:antisense_RNA from 1 species
UUCUCUUUAAACACUGAUGUGUAGCUAGUAACUUGGAUAAAAAGGUGCCACCCUACAAAAUGUGCUCAGCAUGUUCUGAGGCCAGGAUGGGCUUGGCCGCCUGGGCUGGGGCUAAAGGAGACCUCCGUCUGUCACAGUGGAAACUGAAGCCGAGUGCCAGUGCCGCGUCCGGCUUCAAGAUCAAGAAUCAGAGCCUUUGAAAUGGAAAGGGUGCAUCUGAAAGGUCACCCCCACUGGGGGCUUUCAGAGCUAAGGCUCCAGAAGGAAGGGGUCGCCCUGCUAGUGACAGAGCUGGGAGUCACCCUGAGCUGGGAGUCACCCUGAGCUGCAGCGUGCCCAGAUUUCCCCUGUGGGAAGCCCCAUCUGACCCUCUACAGCCCACGGCUUUGCAACUGCUACCUGUACUCAGGUACAUGGCGUCGCUACUGCUGGCUUUUAAAAUCAGCUGUUAGUUUGAGAUGUGACUGUCACCGACAGGGUUCUGUCCUAGAAAGCCAUCCGAGUGCCGUGUUGGCUCAGGGGACACCAACUUUGUGCUGCCUCCAUAACAGGCAGGAGGGUUCUCAAAGCAACGUUCCACUGAUCCCUGGACGCCACUGCAGCAUUAAAGACAGGGUCAGUCCCCUUGAGGGGAAAGGUGGCUUCAGGGCUGUUCUCUGGGCCUCUGUCCACUCGGGCAAGAAUCACUGGGUACCAUGAGCAGCAGGUGUUCACCCAACUUCACGUGUACACCUAGUGACCGGGAGCGCACCACCUGACCUGGUGACACUCCUUCCCAAAGAGCCUCCUGGCGACACCCACGGCAGGAGCGCCACACCAUCCCAUCACCAGCACCCACUUACCCCCCGGGGCUAAGAUGGGGGGGCGUGAGCCUUUCCCCUGAGAGCAAACGGGCAGCAAGAAC